UACGGGGGGGGCAAGCGUUGUUCGGAAUUACUGGGCGUAAAGGGCUCGUAGGCGGCCAACUAAGUCCGACGUGAAAUCCCAAGGCUUAACCUUGGAACUGCGUCGGAUACUGGAUGGCUUGAAUUCGGGAGAGGGAUGCAGAAUUCCAGGUGUAGCGGUGAAAUGCGUAGAUAUCAGGAGGAACACCGAUGGCGAAGGCAGGUCUCUGGGCCACUACUGACGCUGAGAAGCGAAAGCAUGGGGAGCGAACAGG
rnacentral:rRNA from 1 species